rnacentral:rRNA from 1 species
AUAUUGGACAAUGGGGGCAACCCUGAUCCAGCCAUGCCGCGUUUGUGAAGAAGGUCUUCGGAUUGUAAAGCACUUUAAGUUGGGAGGAAGGGCUUUAGGUUAAUACCCUGAAGUUUUGACGUUCCCAACAGAAUAAGCACCGGCUACCUCUGUCCCAGCAGCCGCGGUAAUACAGAGGGUGCAAGCGUUAAUCGGAAUUACUGGGCGUAAAGCGCACGUAGGUGGUUCAGUAAGUUGGGUGUGAAAGCCCCGGGCUUAACCUGGGAACUGCUUUCAUAACUGCUGGGCUAGAGUACGGUAGAGGGGAGUGGAAUUUCCUGUGUAGCGGUGAAAUGCGUAGAUAUAGGAAGGAACACCAGUGGCGAAGGCGACUACCUGGACUGAUACUGACACUGAGGUGCGAAAGCGUGGGGAGCAAAC